GAUGAACGCUGGCGGCGUGCCUAAUACAUGCAAGUCGAGCGAACGGACGAGAAGCUUGCUUCUCUGAUGUUAGCGGCGGACGGGUGAGUAACACGUGGAUAACCUACCUAUAAGACUGGGAUAACUUCGGGAAACCGUAGCUAAUACCGGAUAAUAUUUUGAACCGCAUGGUUCAAAAGUGAAAGACGGUCUUGCUGUCACUUAUAGAUGGAUCCGCGCUGCAUUAGCUAGUUGGUAAGGUAACGGCUUACCAAGGCAACGAUGCAUAGCCGACCUGAGAGGGUGAUCGGCCACACUGGAACUGAGACACGGUCCAGACUCCUACGGGAGGCAGCAGUGGGGAAUCUUCCGCAAUGGGCGAAAGCCUGACGGAGCAACGCCGCGUGAGUGAUGAAGGUCUUCGGAUCGUAAAACUCUGUUAUUAGGGAAGAACAUAUGUGUAAGUAACUGUGCACAUCUUGACGGUACCUAAUCAGAAAGCAACGGCUAACUACGUG
rnacentral:rRNA from 1 species